GACGUAGGUGGCAAGCGUUGUUCGGAAUCACUGGGCAUAAAGCGCACGUAGGCGGCUGAGUAAGUCGGAUGUGAAAUACCUCGGCUCAACCGAGGAACUGCGUCCGAUACUGCUCGGCUUGAGGUCCCGGAGGGAGAGUGGAAUUCCCGGUGGAGCGGUGAAAUGCGUAGAGAUCGGGAAGAACGCCGGCGGCGAAAGCGACUUCUCUGGUCGGAAUCUGACGCUGAGGUGCGAAAGCUAGGGGAGCAAACGGGAUUAGAUACCCGUGUAGU
rnacentral:rRNA from 1 species